GGACGAACGCUGGCGGCGUGCCUAAUACAUGCAAGUCGAACGCACUGACGUCGACAGAAGGUGCUUGCACUGGAAGUUGAUUGACGUGAGUGGCGGACGGGUGAGUAACACGUGGGUAACCUGCCCUUAAGCGGGGGAUAACAUUUGGAAACAGAUGCUAAUACCGCAUAAAAGUUGAGAUCACAUGGUCUUAAUUUGAAAGACGGCCUUUGGCUGUCACUUAAGGAUGGACCCGCGGCGUAUUAGCUAGUUGGUGAGAUAAUAGCCCACCAAGGCGAUGAUACGUAGCCGACCUGAGAGGGUAAUCGGCCACAUUGGGACUGAGACACGGCCCAAACUCCUACGGGAGGCAGCAGUAGGGAAUCUUCCACAAUGGACGAAAGUCUGAUGGAGCAACGCCGCGUGAGUGAAGAAGGUUUUCGGAUCGUAAAACUCUGUUGUUGGAGAAGAACAGGGACUAGAGUAACUGUUAGUCCUUUGACGGUAUCCAACCAGAAAGCCACGGCUAACUACGUGCCAGCAGCCGCGGUAAUACGUAGGUGGCAAGCGUUGUCCGGAUUUAUUGGGCGUAAAGCGAGCGCAGGCGGUUUCUUAAGUCUGAUGUGAAAGCCUUCGGCUUAACCGAAGAAGUGCAUCAGAUACUGGGAAACUUGAGUGCAGAAGAGGAAAGUGGAACUCCAUGUGUAGCGGUGAAAUGCGUAGAUAUAUGGAAGAACACCAGUGGCGAAGGCGGCUUUCUGGUCUGUAACUGACGCUGAGGCUCGAAAGUAUGGGGAGCGAACAGGAUUAGAUACCCUGGUAGUCCAUACCGUAAACGAUGAAUGCUAAGUGUUGGAGGGUUUCCGCCCUUCAGUGCUGCAGCUAACGCAUUAAGCAUUCCGCCUGGGGAGUACGACCGCAAGGUUGAAACUCAAAGGAAUUGACGGGGGCCCGCACAAGCGGUGGAGCAUGUGGUUUAAUUCGAAGCUACGCGAAGAACCUUACCAGGUCUUGACAUCUAGCGCCAAUCCUAGAGAUAGGACGUUCCCUUCGGGGACGCUAAGACAGGUGGUGCAUGGUUGUCGUCAGCUCGUGUCGUGAGAUGUUGGGUUAAGUCCCGCAACGAGCGCAACCCUUAUGAUUAGUUGCCAGCAUUUAGUUGGGCACUCUAAUCAGACUGCCGGUGACAAACC
rnacentral:rRNA from 1 species